rnacentral:rRNA from 1 species
GGUUAAGCGACUAAGCGUACACGGUGGAUGCCCUGGCAGUCAGAGGCGAUGAAGGACGUGCUAAUCUGCGAAAAGCGCCGGCGAGGUGAUAUGAACCCUUGACCCGUCGAUGUCCGAAUGGGGAAACCCAGUGUGUUCCGACACACUAUCGUUAACUGAAUACAUAGGUUAACGAGGCGAACCGGGGGAACUGAAACAUCUAAGUACCCCGAGGAAAAGAAAUCAACCGAGAUUCCCCCAGUAGCGGCGAGCGAACGGGGAGCAGCCCGGAGUCUGAAUCAGCUUGUGUGUUAGUGGAACGGUCUGGAAAGUCCGACGGUACAGGGUGAUAGUCCCGUACACGAAAAUGCACAUGCUGUGAACUCGAAGAGUAGGGCGGGACACGUGGUAUCCUGUCUGAAUAUGGGGGGACCAUCCUCCAAGGCUAAAUACUCCUGACUGACCGAUAGUGAACCAGUACCGUGAGGGAAAGGCGAAAAGAACCCCGGCGAGGGGAGUGAAAAAGAACCUGAAACCGUGUACGUACAAGCAGUGGGAGCCUCUUUAUGGGGUGACUGCGUACCUUUUGUAUAAUGGGUCAGCGACUUAUAUUCUGUAGCAAGGUUAACCGUAUAGGGGAGCCGAAGGGAAACCGAGUCUUAACUGGGCGUUAAGUUGCAGGGUAUAGACCCGAAACCCGGUGAUCUAGCCAUGGGCAGGUUGAAGGUUGGGUAACACUAACUGGAGGACCGAACCGACUAAUGUUGAAAAAUUAGCGGAUGACCUGUGGCUGGGGGUGAAAGGCCAAUCAAACCGGGAGAUAGCUGGUUCUCCCCGAAAGCUAUUUAGGUAGCGCCUCGUGAACUCAUCUUCGGGGGUAGAGCACUGUUUCGGCUAGGGGGCCAUCCCGGCUUACCAACCCGAUGCAAACUACGAAUACCGAAGAAUGUUAUCACGGGAGACACACGGCGGGUGCUAACGUCCGUCGUGAAGAGGGAAACAACCCAGACCGCCAGCUAAGGUCCCAAAGUCAUGGUUAAGUGGGAAACGAUGUGGGAAGGCACAGACAGCCAGGAUGUUGGCUUAGAAGCAGCCAUCAUUUAAAGAAAGCGUAAUAGCUCACUGGUCGAGUCGGCCUGCGCGGAAGAUGUAACGGGGCUAAACCAUGCACCGAAGCUGCGGCAGCGACACUAUGUGUUGUUGGGUAGGGGAGCGUUCUGUAAGCCGUUGAAGGUGUGCUGUGAGGCAUGCUGGAGGUAUCAGAAGUGCGAAUGCUGACAUAAGUAACGAUAAAGCGGGUGAAAAGCCCGCUCGCCGGAAGACCAAGGGUUCCUGUCCAACGUUAAUCGGGGCAGGGUGAGUCGACCCCUAAGGCGAGGCCGAAAGGCGUAGUCGAUGGGAAACAGGUUAAUAUUCCUGUACUUGGUGUUACUGCGAAGGGGGGACGGAGAAGGCUAUGUCAGCCGGGCGACGGUUGUCCCGGUUUAAGCAUGUAGGCGGAGGUUCCAGGUAAAUCCGGUACCUUGUUAACGCUGAGGUGUGAUGACGAGGCACUACGGUGCUGAAGUGAUAAAUGCCCUGCUUCCAGGAAAAGCCUCUAAGCAUCAGGUAACACGAAAUCGUACCCCAAACCGACACAGGUGGUCAGGUAGAGAAUACCAAGGCGCUUGAGAGAACUCGGGUGAAGGAACUAGGCAAAAUGGUGCCGUAACUUCGGGAGAAGGCACGCUGAUAGGUAGGUGAAGCCCCUGCGGGCGGAGCUGAAAUCAGUCGAAGAUACCAGCUGGCUGCAACUGUUUAUUAAAAACACAGCACUGUGCAAACACGAAAGUGGACGUAUACGGUGUGACGCCUGCCCGGUGCCGGAAGGUUAAUUGAUGGGGUUAGCGGCAACGCGAAGCUCUUGAUCGAAGCCCCGGUAAACGGCGGCCGUAACUAUAACGGUCCUAAGGUAGCGAAAUUCCUUGUCGGGUAAGUUCCGACCUGCACGAAUGGCGUAAUGAUGGCCAGGCUGUCUCCACCCGAGACUCAGUGAAAUUGAACUCGCUGUGAAGAUGCAGUGUACCCGCGGCAAGACGGAAAGACCCCGUGAACCUUUACUAUAGCUUGACACUGAACACUGGUCCUUGAUGUGUAGGAUAGGUGGGAGGCUUUGAAGCGUGGACGCCAGUCUGCGUGGAGCCGCCCUUGAAAUACCACCCUUUAAUGGCUGGUGUUCUAACGUAGACCCGUGAUCCGGGUUGCGGACAGUGUCUGGUGGGUAGUUUGACUGGGGCGGUCUCCUCCCAAAGAGUAACGGAGGAGCACGAAGGUUGGCUAAUCCUGGUCGGACAUCAGGAGGUUAGUGCAAUGGCAUAAGCCAGCUUGACUGCGAGCGUGACGGCGCGAGCAGGUGCGAAAGCAGGUCAUAGUGAUCCGGUGGUUCUGAAUGGAAGGGCCAUCGCUCAACGGAUAAAAGGUACUCCGGGGAUAACAGGCUGAUACCGCCCAAGAGUUCAUAUCGACGGCGGUGUUUGGCACCUCGAUGUCGGCUCAUCACAUCCUGGGGCUGAAGUAGGUCCCAAGGGUAUGGCUGUUCGCCAUUUAAAGUGGUACGCGAGCUGGGUUUAGAACGUCGUGAGACAGUUCGGUCCCUAUCUGCCGUGGGCGCUGGAGAAUUGAGGGGGGCUGCUCCUAGUACGAGAGGACCGGAGUGGACGCAUCACUGGUGUUCGGGUUGUCAUGCCAAUGGCACUGCCCGGUAGCUAAAUGCGGAAGAGAUAAGUGCUGAAAGCAUCUAAGCACGAAACUUGCCCCGAGAUGAGUUCUCCCUGAGACUUUAAGUCUCCUGAAGGAACGUUGAAGACGACGACGUUGAUAGGUCGGGUGUGUAAGCGCAGCGAUGCGUUGAGCUAACCGAUACUAAUGAACCGUGAGGCUUAACCUU